AUUUAAGUAGUUUAAUUAAAACGUUGAUUUGUGGUGUCAGUAAUAUGAAAUUUUCAUCUUAGAUC
rnacentral:tRNA from 1 species